AGAAGACGACAGCCGCACAUCCACCGUGGGCGAGCUGCACUGCCCCUCUUUUGAUUUGUCUUUCCCGCUACUACCACACAAGCCAGCCGAUACGUACAGGCACGCACCGUAUAAAUGCUGCCGUAUGCGAUGGCCAGGCGGGGCAAGCACUCCUCGACCUCUUCUGAGGAGACGCAAGUGCACGCAGAGGCGGGGGCUGACGCCUCCGCUCGUCUCCCCGCGGCGGCGCCGACGCUGCGUCAGCGGCGAGCAAAGGCCGAUGAUGCGUCAGCUGCACACAGCAGCAGCGCGGCGGCAGCAGCCUCAGGGGCGCCAGCGCCAGCGAAUACCAAUACAAGCGCAGCGGCUGGCCCUUCCUCCCACCCUACAGUCGCAUCGAGUCCGUCCUGCGUCAUUCUCUUCGGCUUCGGUCUCAUCGGCGCCUUCUUCCUCUCGAUUCUGAUAAGCUUCCUGCUGGUGCAACUGUACGUCGUGGACGGGCCCGAUGCUCAGAGGACCUUUGUCCAUCUGGAGAUGGCCGGCAAGGGGCGCGAGUGGUUCCCUUUGUGGAUGUCGAACUUCCUUAUCAGCACUGUGACGGCGAGCAGAGCCGGUGACGAGGACAGCGCAGUCGUGGGCGGCAGUCUCGGUGUGCCCCCCGAUCAACGCCGUAGCCCCGCCCCACCGCCGCUGACAGGGACCAGAAGCGGCCCGCCACCAGCGCCACAAGGCACCGCGUCCGACGCAGUGUCGGCCGCCGCUGCGCAAAAUUCGACCCCUGCAGCACAGUCAUCGUCGUCAACGCGCCUCCACUGCUACACCCUUGAGGCAUAUAGUGAGACCUUUCUGCAACCGCACCGCGAGUCGGCGGCGCCGCCUCUGUUCAGCUGCGGCACACGCGUUGUCGAUCUGCGGUCGGAAGAGCGGCGAGAAGUGCUCGCGGCAUGUCAGGCAGGCAGCGGCGCGGAGCCACUCCGUGACGGUUCGGCGGAUCCGAAUCGUGAGGGUGGCAGCCUGCUCCCAACGCUGCGGGUGGUUCUCACGCCGCAAGAGGUGCAGUGGCACUUGGUCGUGCAACCGGCUAACGUGGUCUCGCAGCGCAUUCCGCUCAGCCGCGUGAACGACGACUACUGCGACUGCCUGGACGGGACAGACGAGUUGCUGACGAACGCCUGCUCCAUCUCUGGCCCUCUCACCCCCGCAGUCGGCACACGCUGGAAGUCAUACCUCGUCUCAAACCAGCCGCUGCGUCUGUGGGAAACCGACGACGUGAUUGCGCAGGAGGACGCCGAGGCAUGCGGCUACCCGCUGCAGCCGCGGAAGCGCGGCGACGUUGGGGAUCGUCUCUACGUUUCCAGCGGCCCAGUGCUUCCAUUUGUGUGCAUCUGUGGUACAGCACGCCAGCUGCUCGCACCGUCACUCGUCGGCGACGGCAUUGUGGACUGCUGUGCGGCAGAGGAUGAAGUUGUGCUUCAGGGCACCCCAUACGGCAGCGCUUCGCCGCACCGCCUCAGUGAUGAUCCUAAGGUGGUGGAGGCGAACAACCGUGCUCUGGAAGCGACGCGCGCGGCGAUGAUAAUGCAGUGGAAACAGCGCAGAGCGAGUGCGGCACAGUACACAACCGCCACGCCGUCCCUGUAUGAAGACAAGCUGUACCCGUAUCACACCUCUGCCCGCGCAAUGCUGGUGGACAAGGGGUACUACUCCCUCUACACCUCACUCGAAGUGCAGCAAGAGAAGCAGGCGGCCGCGGCCGUGCUCGAGCGCAUAUACGCAGACGGCCACCGCAUCCAACGCCGUCGCGUGCAGAAAGGUUGGGACCGACUGGGCCGUCACCUUGUCGGCAACCGCACAAAGUUGCAGCUGCAGCUCUCGAACGUUACCCGUGAGCUGGAGUCGCUAGAGGAGUACGUGCGCUACCGCAUGGACGAGGCUCGCACCAACGAUCCACUCGCAGCCGGGGUGUCGGUGCAACAGCUGCAACACCACGCACGCCUCGUGCAUAUGCACGAAGCUCUCAACUCGGAGAUUCAGCACAUCUCCCUCACCACCCUGCAUCGCGCCUACGGAGACCACUACGAGUACUAUCCGCUGGUGCGGCGCAUCAUGCAACUGGAAGCCAGCCAUCUCGUGGACUCCAGAACCCCGACUACCUUGGACGACGCGACGGCGCAGCAGCGGAGAGAGCGGAUUAUCACACCGACAGAGGUGGAGCGGAUGAACACCGCGGCCUACGCGGCCCAACAGCCAGCGCCGCCUCUCCAUGUCGACAACAUCUCCGUAAGCGAUUACGGACUGGAGGUGAUGCGGCAGACCUUCGUCGCGCAGCGCUUUGGCAGCCGCGAGGCACCGCUCGUAGCGCAGCGGCUUGGCCUCCUGCCGAACAACAACAUCUCCGCCUACACGCCGGGUGUGUUCAAUCGCACCACAAGCCCGUUCCAGCGAGCCCCGGUGAUCCCGACAGGCUCCUGGCAGCCUUAUCAAAGCCAUCGUGAUGGACGGGUUAUGGUGAUCGCGGAUCCGGCGGGGGAUGUCCACCUGGCCCGCCGCGCGUGCGUGAGACCAGCCUCGACGCUGUUCCGCGGUGGUGGCCGCAUGCAGUGGCCCACGCGGCACCCCGAGGCACCGCCAAUGCUGAGCGUCUCCAACGCGAUGGAGGCGAAGAAGACCGCCAAAGACAAACUCAAGGCGGCCUCGGCAGGUGAGACGGCGAAGGUCUCGCAGGUGUACACCCCUUACCACACCAACAUGCCGUCAGUCUUCGCGGUGGACGUGUACACAGGCGACAUCCGCUGCGAACAUGAUCCUCCGCUAACGUCGUCGCAGCACCGCACACGUGGCGCCGGACGUGACGAGGAUACGCCGCGGAGCCGUGCACAGAGCGUGAAAACUCAUGUCACAUAUCUUUGCGACACCAAGGACAGUAUUCUCCACUGGGCAAGUAACGGCAAGUGCUUGCAGGAGGUGGUGGUCGGCACGCCGAGUGCGUGUACGGGCUGGGCUUGGAAGGUUGCGACGGAGCGGAUGAAGGAAGUUGGGGAAGCUUGACAUGCCUGAGAACGGACGACUGACCCCGCGGCAUGCUCUCCCUAUAUCGUGCGAUUGCGCGUCUCGAUCGCCACCGCCACACAAGCAUUCCAACAUGUACAUCUGCGACUCUCCAGUAACUGAGCUUGCAUUCUUUUUUCGACCGUGUACCGCCAUGCUCACGGAGGAGGGUCUUCGAGGCGGACGGCCUACCUCUCUUGCUCCCCUCCCUUCCCCCACUCCACUCCAUCUUUCUCAUGGCUGCAUCGGCGUCGCGCCUUUUUUGUUUUGAAUCUCUUCCCUGAUGAUGCCGGGCCACCUCAGCGCGCGUGGUAUCUCAGAGUCCCGUACCCACUCGUCCUAGAGAAUCCACGCGCCUCUGCAGCCUGCCCUCCGGUGCUCGCGACGGGCGCGCGGUGCUGGCGGACAGGUGUGUCUGGGCUGGCGCUCUGCCGAAGAGACCUGCGGCCAUGAGGAUCGUGUUUGUACCAGCCCACUAC
rnacentral:misc_RNA from 1 species